CGAGCACGCGCGUGUGGCAUAUCAAUAAGCGGAGGAAAAGAAACUAACAAGGAUCCCUUAGUAACGGCGAGUGAAGCGGGAAGAGCUCAAAUUUGAAAUCUUCAAGGUUCUACCUUGACGAAUUGUAGUUUAUAGAAGUGUUUUCUGUUAGUGGAGUGGCAAAAGUUCUUUGGAAUAGGACAUCAUAGAGGGUGAGAAUCCCGUAUUUGGUCAUUCCUCCUAGCGUUGUGAUACACUUUCAACGAGUCGGAUUGUUUGGGAAUGCAGUCCAAAAUGGGUGGUAAAUUUCAUCUAAAGCUAAAUAUUGGCGAGAGACCGAUAGCGAACAAGUACCGUGAGGGAAAGAUGAAAAGAACUUUGAAAAGAGAGUUAAACAGUACGUGAAAUUGUCAAAAGGGAAGCGUUUGACACCAGUGUUGUUUUUCCGAAAAUCAAUUACGAAUGUUUUAGUUUUUGAGGAGUUAUGACUUCAUCGGCUUGCUCCUUUCUUUAUGAAACUUUCUUAAUGCACUUUUCGGUUAACAAGUCAACAUCAAUUUCUUUUGUUGUAAAAGGGUAUGAGGAAGGUGGCUUUCUUUUCGGAGAAAGUGUUUAUAGCCUUGUACCUCUGCAAUCGGAGAGAUUGAGGUCUGCAGCGUAGAUCCUUCGGGGUUAGAUACGUUUGUGCUAAGUUAUAGCUUUUCAUAGACAACUUGUUGACUAUGUUUAGUCUUGUAGCUUACUCGCUGACGCUAUUUUACCUACGCUUAGGAUGUUGAGCGCAUGUCUCUCUC
rnacentral:rRNA from 1 species